GGCAGCACGGGGGCAACCCUGGUGGCGAGUGGCGAACGGGUGAGUAAUACAUCGGAAUGUACCCAGUAGUGGGGGAUAACGUACCGAAAGGUACGCUAAUACCGCAUACGACCUACGGGUGAAAGCGGGGGAUCGCAAGACCUCGCGCUAUUGGAGCAGCCGAUGGCCGAUUAGCUAGUUGGUGAGGUAAAGGCUCACCAAGGCGACGAUCGGUAGCUGGUCUGAGAGGACGAUCAGCCACACUGGGACUGAGACACGGCCCAGACUCCUACGGGAGGCAGCAGUGGGGAAUUUUGGACAAUGGGCGAAAGCCUGAUCCAGCAAUGCCGCGUGUGUGAAGAAGGCCUUCGGGUUGUAAAGCACUUUUGUCAGGAAAGAAAUCCCUAGGGCUAAUACCUCAAGGGGAUGACGGUACCUGAAGAAUAAGCACCGGCUAACUACGUGCCAGCAGCCGCGGUAAUACGUAGGGUGCAAGCGUUAAUCGGAAUUACUGGGCGUAAAGCGUGCGCAGGCGGUUUCGUAAGACAGAUGUGAAAUCCCCGGGCUCAACCUGGGAACUGCAUUUGUGACUGCGAGGCUAGAGUGUGUCAGAGGGAGGUGGAAUUCCGCGUGUAGCAGUGAAAUGCGUAGAGAUGCGGAGGAACACCGAUGGCGAAGGC
rnacentral:rRNA from 1 species